GACGAACGCUGGCGGCGUGCCUAAUACAUGCAAGUCGAACGCAGUGGGGACGGGUGAGUAACACGUGGGUAACCUCCCAUCAGAGGGGAUAACACUUGGAAACAGGUGCUAAACCGAUACUGAUGGAUGGACCCGCGGUGCAUUAGCUAGUUGGUGAGGUAACGGCUCACCAAGGCCACGAUGCAUAGCCGACCUGUGAGGGUGAUCGGCGCCACUGUGACUGUGACACGGCCCAGACUCCUACGGGAGGCAGCAGUAGGGAAUCUUCGGCAAUGGGCGAGAGUCUCACCGAGCAACGCCGCGUGAGUGAAGAAGGUUUUCGGAGCGUAAAGCUCUGUUGUGAAGGAAGCGGUACUUAACCAGAAAGGGACGGCUAAAUACGUGCCAGCAGCCGCGGUAAUUC
rnacentral:rRNA from 1 species